rnacentral:rRNA from 1 species
CUACGGGUGGCUCCAGUGGGGAAUAUUGCACAAUGGGCGCAAGCCUGAUGCAGCCAUGCCGCGUGAGUGAAGAAGGCCUUAGGGUUGUAAAGCUCUUUCGCCGGUGAAGAUAAUGACGGUAGCCGGAGAAGAAGCCCCGGCCAACUCCGUGCCAGCAGCCGCGGUAAUACGGAGGGGGCUAGCGUUGUUCGGAAUUACUGGGCGUAAAGCGCGCGUAGGCGGACUGGCAAGUUGGGGGUGAAAUCCCGAGGCUCAACCUCGGAACUGCCCUCAAUACUACCAGCCUUGAGUUCGAGAGAGGGGAGUGGAAUUCCUAGUGUAGAGGUGAAAUUCGUAGAUAUUAGGAAGAACACCGGUGGCGAAGGCGGCUCACUGGCUCGAUACUGACGCUGAGGCGCGAAAGCGUGGGGAGCAAACAGGAUUAGAUACCCGAGUAGUC